GUAGUGGCGAUUGAAGUGCUUGGAUAUGUUCUCUAGUUCGCCUGCCCUCCCACCAACGAUGUUUGCUAUAGCCAGUCGGCGACUCUGUAAAAUUGGAUUUGAAAAAAGAGCAGAGAUUUUGGAAAGAGCAUAGAGUGCUUUCCAUUCACCUACAAGUUGUCAAUUGGCUGCAUAAUGAAAUUGCUACUGGGGUUGGAUCUUCACACCCAUCUGAUUCUAUCAAUGAGGACCAGCCUUACAUUCCAGUUCCAAUUGAUGAUUUCAUUAGCAUGGACAAUUAUGACGAUGUUGAUGAUAAUGUUGGCGAAAGUACCCAUUAUACUCCCUAUGCAAGUAGCAGUCGUUCCCAUGGGAGGCCUAGUUCAAGGGUGACAUGUAAAGAGAAGAAGAAGAAAAGAGGUGCAAAGAAGGUUAGUAGUCCUUUGAAAGUGAUAGCCAAUGCAAUUAUGGAGAUGGCCAAGCAAGACCCCCGGAAGAAAUUUGCAAAAAACUUAUGUACUAAGAUUGAUGCACUUCCAGGAAUUGAGUUUGAUAAAAAAUUGCAUGCUAAACAAUUCUUCAUGCAACAUAUGGAAUUGGCUCACAUCUUCUUGAAUGCCAAUGAGACAGAUAAGCUUAAGGUGUUUGAACACUACAUGAAGAAUAUCGAAGAUGGUGGUCAAGACUGAGGAGGUGUCACUUUAUUUACUUAUUAUUAGUGUGUUGUUUCAAAACAUGAGUAAAUAGUUGGACAAUUUAUGACAAACAUUUGAAAUGCUUAUUUUGGUGAUGUAAUAUUGACUCCAUUUUUGAACUCUCUCAUUUAAACUGAUCAGCUGGUGAUUGGUAAGCUUCUGUAAGAAGGUAUUAUGAGUUUUAUUGGAAAGUAACAGAGUUGGAUGUUUGUCCUUCUUAUGCUAAA